rnacentral:tRNA from 9 species
GCGGGCAUAGCUCAGUGGUAGAGCGUCUCGUUGCCAACGAGAAGGUCGUGGGUUCGAGUCCCAUUGCCCGCUCCA